AUUGUGACUGAUACAGGAGUGUACCUUAGAAGCUGUAAGUUGCAAGAAUAUUCCUUUGCUGGGAAAACCUUGUUGGAGCUAGCAUACAGUCAAACUACUUAUUGUCUUUGAGUAAGGGUUCCUUUUGAGAUGACUGGGAUUAAGAAGUAGAUUGCCUCUGCAUGAUUCAUGAAAAGGAACAUUUUAAGUGAGAAUACAUAGCUACAAUUUCUUAGCACGAUGAAUCCGGAAAUCCGAUAAAGUGUUGGAGCACAGUGGUCCAAUGGUUAUAACAAUCAGCAAAGAUUCAAAUUUGUGCUUUUCUAUUUCAUCUGGAGUCGCAUCCUGUAUUGUGAGAUCUGUAUUUGAUGUAGGACUGAAUCGCCAGAAUGUUGGAUAGAAUUCCUUUGUAUUCAGAGAUAUGGCUUAACCAAAAGGUAAUCAUGAAAGUAAACUGAAUGGCAUCAUUUCUUAUUAUAUAUAUAUAUAUAUAUAUAUAUAUGUAUGUAUUUUUUUUUCUUUUUUGAGAAGGCAACCAGAAGGUUACAGUACAUACUUACAAUAUUGUUUUGAACAGGAUUGUGGGCCACUUUGUAAAUACUGCUCAUCUCUUUCAAGAUGUGAAAAGCAUCAUAUACCGAAACACCCAUCAUAAACACCCAUAUUUGUACUUUUUUUGAAAGUACAAAGUCCAAAAAAAAAAAAAAAAAAAAAAACACUUCAACACAAAACAGUUGCCUUAUGGAGUGAAGUCUCUGUUCUGAUAUCAAAGCACAUUUGGCUGUAUGACUCUCUCUUUAAGAAAAAAGAAGAAAACACUUUUUUCUCAUUCUUUUCCUCUUUUUCCUCUAUACUAAAUUCUGUUUUUUAAUUACAGUGACCUCUAAUCUGCAAAUUUCAAUUUUUAAUUGAAGCAUUAUAUGAGGAGUGCAUUUCAUGUUAUCUAUGUGCAAAUACAGAGUAUGCAUCACCUUGAUCAAUAGCUUUGUUUUCCACAACCUUUACAUGCUUUUCUAUUAGACAUAAGAUGAUGUGACAAGGCAUAAUUGUAAUACAUGAAUUAAUUUAAUAUCUCUACAUCUUGAAGAAAUUAUUUUCACUCGGCAUUUAAUAACCAUACAUGUACUGCUUAAGUGUUCUUGAUUAAGUUACUUGGGUUGUAGCAUUUGUCAACACAAACAUCCACAAAAUUACAACCUUUGAAAACA